GAUGAACGCUGGCGGCGUGCUUAACACAUGCAAGUCGAACGGUGAAGGCGGAGCUUGCUCUGCUGGAUCAGUGGCGAACGGGUGAGUAACACGUGAGCAAUCUGCCCCUGACUCUGGGAUAAGCGCUGGAAACGGCGUCUAAUACUGGAUACGAGCUGCGAAGGCAUCUUCAGCAGCUGGAAAGAAUUUCGGUCAGGGAUGAGCUCGCGGCCUAUCAGCUUGUUGGUGAGGUAAUGGCUCACCAAGGCGUCGACGGGUAGCCGGCCUGAGAGGGUGACCGGCGACACUGGGACUGAGACACGGCCCAGACUCCUACGGGAGGCAGCAGUGGGGAAUAUUGCACAAUGGGCGAAAGCCUGAUGCAGCAACGCCGCGUGAGGGACGACGGCCUUCGGGUUGUAAACCUCUUUUAGCAGGGAAGAAGCGAAAGUGACGGUACCUGCAGAAAAAGCGCCGGCUAACUACGUG
rnacentral:rRNA from 1 species